rnacentral:rRNA from 1 species
AGAGUUUGAUCCUGGCUCAGGACGAACGCUGGCGGCGUGCUUAACACAUGCAAGUCGAACGCUGAAGCUCAGCUUUUGUUGGGUGGAUGAGUGGCGAACGGGUGAGUAACACGUGAGUAACCUGCCCCCUUCUUUGGGAUAACGCCCGGAAACGGGUGCUAAUACUGGAUAUUCACUGGCCUUCGCAUGGGGGUUGGUGGAAAGGUUUUUUCUGGUGGGGGAUGGGCUCGCGGCCUAUCAGCUUGUUGGUGGGGUGAUGGCCUACCAAGGCUUUGACGGGUAGCCGGCCUGAGAGGGUGACCGGUCACAUUGGGACUGAGAUACGGCCCAGACUCCUACGGGAGGCAGCAGUGGGGAAUAUUGCACAAUGGGCGAAAGCCUGAUGCAGCGACGCCGCGUGAGGGAUGACGGCCUUCGGGUUGUAAACCUCUGUUAGCAGGGAAGAAGAGAGAUUGACGGUACCUGCAGAGAAAGCGCCGGCUAACUACGUGCCAGCAGCCGCGGUAAUACGUAGGGCGCGAGCGUUGUCCGGAAUUAUUGGGCGUAAAGGGCUUGUAGGCGGUUGGUCGCGUCUGCCGUGAAAUUCUCUGGCUUAACUGGGGGCGUGCGGUGGGUACGGGCUGACUUGAGUGCGGUAGGGGAGACUGGAACUCCUGGUGUAGCGGUGGAAUGCGCAGAUAUCAGGAAGAACACCGGUGGCGAAGGCGGGUCUCUGGGCCGUUACUGACGCUGAGGAGCGAAAGCGUGGGGAGCGAACAGGAUUAGAUACCCUGGUAGUCCACGCUGUAAACGUUGGGCACUAGGUGUGGGGGCCACCCGUGGUUUCUGCGCCGUAGCUAACGCUUUAAGUGCCCCGCCUGGGGAGUACGGCCGCAAGGCUAAAACUCAAAGGAAUUGACGGGGGCCCGCACAAGCGGCGGAGCAUGCGGAUUAAUUCGAUGCAACGCGAAGAACCUUACCAAGGCUUGACAUAUACUGGACCGCAUUAGAGAUGGUGUUUCCCUUCGGGGCUGGUAUACAGGUGGUGCAUGGUUGUCGUCAGCUCGUGUCGUGAGAUGUUGGGUUAAGUCCCGCAACGAGCGCAACCCUUGUCUUAUGUUGCCAGCACGUUAUGGUGGGGACUCAUGAGAGACUGCCGGGGUUAACUCGGAGGAAGGUGGGGAUGACGUCAAAUCAUCAUGCCCCUUAUGUCUUGGGCUUCACGCAUGCUACAAUGGUUGGUACAGAGGGUUGCGAUACUGUGAGGUGGAGCGAAUCCCUUAAAGCCAGUCUCAGUUCGGAUUGGGGUCUGCAACUCGACCCCAUGAAGGUGGAGUCGCUAGUAAUCGCAGAUCAGCAACGCUGCGGUGAAUACGUUCUCGGGCCUUGUACACACCGCCCGUCACGUCACGAAAGUUGGUAACACCCGAAGCCCAUGGCCUAACCGCGUUUGUGGGGGGAGUGGUCGAAGGUGGGAUUGGCGAUUGGGACGAAGUCGUAACAAGGUAGCCGUACCGGAAGGUGCGGCUG